UACGAAGGGGGCGAGCGUUGUUCGGAAUUACUGGGCGUAAAGGGCGCGUAGGCGGCGAACCAAGUCAGAUGUGAAAGUCCUGGGCUUAACCUGGGGACUGCAUUUGAUACUGGUUUGCUUGAAUUCGGGAGAGGAUAGCGGAAUUCCCAGUGUAGAGGUGAAAUUCGUAGAUAUUGGGAAGAACACCGGUGGCGAAGGCGGCUAUCUGGACCGACAUUGACGCUGAGGUGCGAAAGCGUGGGGAGCAAACAGG
rnacentral:rRNA from 1 species